CAGUUGGCGGGAGGCUCUGACACGCGGUCCAAACCCGGCCGCCGGGACCGCGCCGAGCCACUGGCGAGACCGACCCGCAGAAUG
rnacentral:ncRNA from 1 species